UACGUAGGGGGCAAGCGUUGCCCGGAAUUAUUGGGCGUAAAGCGCGUGUAGGCGGCUCGGUAAGUCUGCUGUGAAAGUCCAGGGCUCAACCCUGGAAUGCCGGUGGAUACUGUCGAGCUCGAGUCCGGAAGAGGCGAGUGGAAUUCCUGGUGUAGCGGUGAAAUGCGCAGAUAUCAGGAGGAACACCAAUGGCGAAGGCAGCUCGCUGGGACGGUACUGACGCUGAGACGCGAAAGCGUGGGGAGCAAACAGG
rnacentral:rRNA from 1 species